UAAUAUGUAGACAAGUCUUACCCCUACCCGAAAGGGCAGAGAGGCUGUUUCGAAUUGACCCCCGGCUCAUAAGAUAAGGAAAAACAGCAGUAAAACAAAAACAAAGACAAAAAUAAAAAUAAAAAACAAAAACAAAAACAAAACAAUAGAGCAUUAGUAACUCCAGCAGAAAUAGCGUAAAUAGNNNNNNNNNNNNNNNNNNNNNNNNNNCCCGAAAGGGCAGAGAGGCUGUUUCCAAUCGACCCCCGGCUCAUAGGAUAAGGAAAAACAGCAGUAAAACAAAAACAAAGACAAAAAUAAAACAAAAACAAAAACAAAAACAAAAACAAAAACAAAAACAAAACAAUAGAGCAUUAGUAACUCUAGCAGAAAUAGCGUAAAUAGCGUGAAUAAUUAUCUAAACAUACGAAACAUAAAUACAAUCGCCUGCAAUAAUAUCAUACAGUAACUACCAUAACUAACAGCCAUGGGGGGGACAUACGCUAAAACACAAAUCAUCUAUGGGUAGCCCUGCUGACCCACACCUAACCCCGGAUGAGGCGUACGAAAAACUCUAGGAGCCCCUAUCCUACAACCCUGAUUCUAGACCUCCAGACUUUCCUAUCAAGGGUCAUGUCCUCGGAAAC
rnacentral:lncRNA from 1 species